rnacentral:rRNA from 1 species
UACGGAGGGUGCAAGCGUUAUCCGGAUUCACUGGGUUUAAAGGGAGCGUAGGUGGGAUGGUAAGUCAGUGGUGAAAUCUCCGGGCUUAACUCGGAAACUGCCGUUGAUACUAUCAUUCUUGAAUAUUGUGGAGGUAAGCGGAAUAUGUCAUGUAGCGGUGAAAUGCUUAGAUAUGACGUAGAACACCGAUAGCGAAGGCAGCUUGCUACACAAUUAUUGACACUGAGGCUCGAAAGCGUGGGGAUCAAACAGG